GCGGGCGUGGCGGAAUGGCAGACGCGCUGGUCUUAGGAGCCAGUACCUUUGGUGUAAGGGUUCAAGUCCCUUCGCCCGCACCA
rnacentral:tRNA from 3 species